UGGAUCCAGACUUUGAUUAUGGCUCAGGAUGAACGCUGGCGGCGUGCCUAACACAUGCAAGUCGAACGGAACCACCUCGAUGAGAUUCCUCGGAAUGGAUUUGACCUGGUUCAGUGGCGGACGGGUGAGUAACGCGUGGGUAACCUGCCCCAUACAGGGGGAUAACAGCUGGAAACGGCUGUUAGUACCGCAUAAGCGCACGGUACCGCAUGGUACCGUGUGAAAAACUCCGGUGGUAUGGGAUGGACCCGCGCCUGAUUAGCUGGUUGGCGGGGUAACGGUCCACUAAGGCGGCGAUCAGUAGCCGGCCUGAGAGGGUGACCGGCCACAUUGGGACUGAGACACGGCCCAAACUCCUACGGGAGGCAGCAGUGGGGAAUACUGCACAAUGGGGGAAACCCCGAUGCAGCGACGCCGCGUGAGCGAAGAAGUAUUUCGGUAUGUAAAGCUCUGUCAGCAGGGAGGAAAAUGACGGUACCUGACCAAGAAGCCCCGGCUAACUACGUGCCAGCAGCCGCGGUAAUACGUAGGGGGCAAGCGUUAUCCGGAUUUACUGGGUGUAAAGGGAGCGCAGGCGGUCCUGCAAGUCUGGUGUGAAAGCCCGGGGCUUAACCCCGGGACUGCAUUGGAAACUGCGGGACUUGAGUGUCGGAGGGGCAAGUGGAAUUCCUAGUGUAGCGGUGAAAUGCGUAGAUAUUAGGAGGAACACCAGUGGCGAAGGCGGCUUGCUGGACGACAACUGACGCUGAGACUCGAAAGCGUGGGGAGCAAACAGGAUUAGAUACCCUGGUAGUCCACGCCGUAAACGAUGAAUACCAGGUGUCGGGGGGCAAGGCCCCCGGUGCCGCAGCAAACGCAGUAAGUAUUCCACCUGGGGAGUACGUUCGCAAGAAUGCAACUCAAAGGAAUUGACGGA
rnacentral:rRNA from 1 species